rnacentral:lncRNA from 1 species
GUUCUAGAUCCAUUUGUUGCCAUUCUGGAUCCCGUUGGUGCUGUUCUAGGUCUGCUUGAUGCGGUUCUUGAUCCAUUUGAUGCUGUUCUGGAUCCUGUUGGUGCCGUUCUAGGUCUGCUUGAUGCGGUUCUUGAUCCCGUUGAUGCUGUUCUACGCCCACUUGAUGCCGUUCUAGAUCUGCCUGACGUGCUCCUGGAUCCUGCUGACGCCAUUCUAGAUCCAGUUGACGCGGCUCUUGAUGCUGUAGGCGCCGUUCCAGAUCUGCUCCACAUGGUUCUCCAUCCUGCUGCCAUUGCUGGCCCCGUUCUCGAUCCCGUUGAUGCUCUUCUCCAUCUGCUUGAUGUUCUCGACCCCCCUGACGCCGUUCUAGAUCCGACUGACGCUGUUCUCCAUCCCACUGGCACCACCCCCAAUGUUCUCCACCCUGCUGAUGUUCCCGAUCCCUUUGGGCCCCAUCCUGACCCCAUUCUCGAUCCCAUUGACACC